UCACUAUCCCUCCAAAAUAUUUCACUCUCCCUCCAAUUUAUAAUUGGAAAAAAAUAAUUGAGAAAAGAAAAUGUUUACCUCCUCUCUUAGAUAAUAUCAAUUCUCUCAUAUAAACAAAACCCUUUGCCCAAAUUUCUUUGAAUCCAUCAAAUCCUUUACCCAAAUAGAUUCUCUCAGCUCAAUCCAUUUAAUUCAUCAAAUUUCUUCAAUUUCUUUGCUCAAAAUACUUAAAUUUUAUCGCACUGAGGCUCAAUUCACAAUCUUUUAAGCGCAGUUCAGUGAUAAGAGCAACAAUUUCUGUAAACAUAGAGGAAAUUUCAGCAUAGCUAAGGGAUUAGAGUGGAAAUUUCAGCAUAGCUAAGGGAUUAGAGUGGAAAUUUCAUCUCAAGUAGUGAUUAGAGAAGAAAUUUUAGUGGAAAUUUUAACUUCACUUUCGUUUACUCACUAUGUAAUUAGUCACCCAUUUCAUUUUUUUUAGAGGAAGAAGAAAAAGUAGGAGCCAUCAACCCUCAGGUUCAUGAAGGACAGAAUCAUGAAUAUUGUGCACUUGUGAAAAAUGUUGUACUUCAGAUAGAUAAAAACAUUCAGUGGGGGAUAAUCAAUCACACAUCCCUGAGGCAUUCUAAUAUAAUUAGAUUCAAAGAGGUUUGUCAUUGUCUUCUCCCUUAUAUCUUGAUAGGAGGUUAUACAUGUAUGACUAGUUUGCUCAAAAUUUUACGCUAGGUGAUUCUAACACCAACUCAUCUCGCUAUUGUGAUGGAAUAUGCAUCUAGUGAGGAUCUUUUUAAGAAAAUUUCUAAUGCAGGGCGCUUCAGCGAGGAUAGGGUAUUUAAUCCUCUAACUAUAGAACAUUGAGGUUAUUGUUGUGCGAGAUUUAUGCGGUCAAAUAAUAUCUUCUUGUGCAGGCUCACUUUUUUCUAGCAACUUUUAUCUGGUGUCUGUUACUGUCACUCCAUGCAAGUCAUUAGGGCUUGAAGCUGGAUAAUACAUUGCUUGAUGGAAGCCCUGCUCCUCGACUAAAAAUUUUGAUUUGUGUUAUCCCAAGGAAAACUGCGAGUGAUCAAAUUUUAAUGGUGGCCACCACAAGUCAAGUCGAUCUAGAUUGAAGUGAAUAAUAAAGAACUUUUUGAGCUAUAUUUUGAUAUAUGUUUAAAUACUUUCGGUUUUGUGUGGAACUUGCACAAAUCUUUAAAAUAUUGUUUUCUAAUUAAUAUGUGUAGUAAGAGACAUGUUCUUUUGAAGUUCAUUGCAAAUCUAUGCAUUAGAGUUAUUUAUU